rnacentral:rRNA from 1 species
GAUGAACGCUGGCGGCGUGCCUAAUACAUGCAAGUCGAGCGAACGGACGAGAAGCUUGCUUCUCUGAUGUUAGCGGCGGACGGGUGAGUAACACGUGGAUAACCUACCUAUAAGACUGGGAUAACUUCGGGAAACCGGAGCUAAUACCGGAUAAUAUUUUGAACCGCAUGGUUCAAAAGUGAAAGACGGUCUUGCUGUCACUUAUAGAUGGAUCCGCGCUGCAUUAGCUAGUUGGUAAGGUAACGGCUUACCAAGGCAACGAUGCAUAGCCGACCUGAGAGGGUGAUCGGCUACACUGGAACUGAGACACGGUCCAGACUCCUACGGGAGGCAGCAGUAGGGAAUCUUGGGCAAUGGGCGAAAGCCUGACGGAGCAACGCCGCGUGAGUGAAGAAGGUCUUCGGAUCGUAAAACUCUGUUAGUAGGGAAGAACAUAUGUGUAAGUAACUGUGCACGUCUUGACGGUACCUAAUCAGAAAGCCACGGCUAACUACGUG